GUAGUUUGUACUCCUUAGUCCUCUUUCCCUAUCUUGCCCCUAACUCUUUCCCUCUUCCCAUGGGUAACCACUAGUUUGUUCUCUGUAUGUGUGAGUCUGUCUCAGUUUUGUAAUAUUCAUUUCUUUUAUUUUGUUAAGUGGC